GAUGUGGCUCAAUGGCAGAGCACUUGCCUAACAUGUGCAAGGCCAUGGGUUCAAUCCCCAGCACG
rnacentral:tRNA from 1 species